rnacentral:rRNA from 1 species
GACAGAGGAUGCAAGCGUUAUCCGGAAUGAUUGGGCGUAAAGCGUCUGUAGGUGGCUUUUUAAGUCCGCCGUCAAAUCCCAGGGCUCAACCCUGGACAGGCGGUGGAAACUACCAAGCUGGAGUACGGUAGGGGUAGAGGGAAUUUCCAGUGGAGCGGUGAAAUGCGUAGAUAUUGGAAAGACCACCGAUGGCGAAGGCACUCUACUGGGCCACUACUGACACUGAGAGACGAAAGCUAGGGGGAGCAAAUGGG